rnacentral:rRNA from 1 species
GACGAACCGUGCGAACGUUAUUCGGAAUCACUGGGCUUAAAGCGCGUGUAGGCGGAUGGGAACGUCGGUCGUUGAAAGCCCCCGGCUCAACCGGGGAAUGGGCGCCGAAACGACCCGUCUGGAGGGACGUAGGGGCAGAGGGAAUUUCCGGUGGAGCGGUGAAAUGCGUAAAGAUCGGAAAGAACACCAACGGCGAAAGCACUCUGCUGGGCCGACACUGACACUGAGAGACGAAAGCUAGGGGAGCGAAUGGG